AGACAGGAAGACAAUACUAGAUCAAGAUAAUCAAGCUUUUGUAGCUCAAAUAUGGCCACUGUCCACACAGUGUCAUCCCCAGCUGAGGCUCUGACUUGUAACGAGGCUGUCCGCAUCUUACUGUACGGAUUCCUCACUUGGCCCCUUGGUGAAUCACUAAAGUGAUGUGCUCAAAGAAUACAGGGGCUCUAACUGCUUUGUAUUGUGCAAGAUUACAAAGAUGCCCAGUUGAUCCAAGUGUCAGAUUUAUCAAUCAACAUUAAGGAAAUUACGUUAGAAUAAAGUACCAUUUAUAAUAAGAGGUUAAAUCAAGUCAGUAUGAAUGGUGAGAUGUCUUUGAAAUCCAUAUAUAAAUAUUUAAAAUGUUUUGGAUUUAAUUGGAGAGCAAGAUUUGGCACAGACUUUUAAUAUUUUUAUUUUACUGCUUAUAAAAGGCUUCAUUUCUCAGAAAACUUCUUUCAAAAAUAUUGAUUUAUUUAAAAUAGAGACUAGUCUGAAACUCCAAAUUUGAUAGGAUUAGUAUGCCAUUAUAAGUCUAAAAAAUAGAAUCAGUUAUCUAAUGCUUUUUAAGUUUUUACUGAAAUGCACACCUGGUGUGACUUAUGUUAAGGUCUCUAAGAAGAGGCCACCAACGAUAACAGGAGUGACAUUGUAAAAAUGCACAUGCUUACAAAGGCUAAGUAUAGAAAGAUGCUUAUUUUGGGAUAGAAGGGAUAAGAGGAGGAAAAAUCAAGAAAGUGUAAAUUUGUAAUAUUUCCUGUGUGUCAGAAACAUUAAACAAAGCCAGAACUCCCAGACAAAGAACCAGUAACAGAUGUAAAAAUCCAUUUUAUUUCAAGACAUCGUACCUGAGUGCUUUGAUCUAUACAUUCGUAUAUAAGCUGUCUUAGAAGCCAGUGGUAUCUGUGAUUCUACUUUUAUUUAAAUAUGCAUUGAUUUAAAAACAGAUUAUUUAAAAAACACCUUUUAGUGGAAAUAAUUUUCCCUAAUAAACAGCUCAUAGAUAAGGAGUUGACAAGUGUUAUCUUGAUUUUUUUUCUAACUUGUAUUUAAAUUCUGCAGACUCUCCCGGGUUAGCCCGUGGAUAGCUGUGACUUCCCCAGGGCAUGCUGGGAUAUAGGGAGAUUCUAUCCAGGUUUGCUUUGAUCAUGACUUCUGCAUGUUUCACUAUGGGUGGUGCCAGCAUCUAUUACAGCUCUUUUGUCUCGAGGCAUCCUUCCUUUGGAGACAGAAGCCAUCCUUGGGAUGAGGGAACUGAGAUGAGCAAUCUGAGCAUCAUUGAUAUACAGCCCUCCUGAGGGUGGUGUGGCAAAAAGAACACACACAGAGAUGCACACACACACACACACACACAUACACACAGAGAGAUGGAGACUCAUGCAAGUAUGCACACACAAACACACAGACAUACAGAUACACAUAUACACACAUGCACACAUGAGAGAAACAGACACAAAGAGAUGGAGAAGCAGAGAUACUCGUGGAUACACACAGAUGCUCACACACACAGAGACACACACAGAUAUAUGCAGAUACACACAUAGAUAUAUACACAGAUAUGCAUGCACAGACACCCUCCCAACACACACACACACACACACACACACACACACACACACACACACACACACACAUGAACCUGGCAAUGAAGAACACACAGACACUAGGAAAGGAGGUGAGAAAUACAGAGAAAAUCAAGGACCAGGGGAGUGGUGACAGGCGGGGCCCCUAAGUGAAAGACUAGAUUGUUCCAUGAGAGGGUCUAUUGCUUGCUGUGCUCAUGUUCUCCUUCCUGUGGCCACUGAACAUAAAACACCUGCCGCCUGAGUGGAUGGAUUCAGCCAUGAUGACUAACCUUAGAUUCCACUCAGCACAGAUGAGGUUUGAACAGUGAAAUAUGGGAUUACCUCAAAAUGCCGCUGAACCUGGACUCUGAACAGACUAGUGAAGAAAAACAAAACAAAACAAAACAAAACAACCCAGAAACUACAGCUGGAGGAGAUGCUAAAUCCUGAGGCUGUGUACAAGUGCAUAUAUUCAAAUGCAUGGGCCACAUCUCAAGAUUAAGCAAGUCGGUGCCCAGGGACUCAGAAGUACAGUUCAGCACUCACUAAAACACUCCUAGGGUUGAACACUGUGCCAGACCUGGGGGCAUGACCUGAGCGACACACAGCCACCUUGCUCAGUUUCCCUAGAAGAUGACAGAGAGAAUUUGACACUUGCCUCUUCUUUCCCAAAUUGGAAUGUUUACCCAACAUCUUUCUCCAAAAGUGUUUGCAGGCAAUAAGAUGCACAGGGAAGAGGGAGUUUUGUUCACACAGAGCAGGUCCGGAAAGGGAUGCACACACUGUGCCUCACAGCCUACUUUACGCUGGCAAGCAUAGGAUGCUUGUGUUGCCUGGGGUACUGAGGCUAGUCUACACUCCCCUCAGAUGUUUGCUUGGGAGGUGGCAGGGAAACAAAUUCAAGUAUUCAACAACCCCUCCAUCUUUCUAGUUUUUUGUUCUUUUAUAGGGUGAAUCAGGUUAAUAUUGAUGUCAAGGAAAGCUGUAAAGGACAAUCAUAAUGGGUAGAUCAUGGCCUAAAGCUGGGUCUGGCAUGAAUAAGGUCAGAGAGGCAGCUUUUGUUCAUGUGUCUUUUGAUUUGAAUGGAUUUGGGGAUUUUUUUUUUUUAAAUCACCUGCUACUGAAGCUAUCUUCUCUCUGUCCCAUGAGCUGCCUCUCUGACUUGCAGUUUGUCCCUAAUCCCCAGUUGUCUUCUGUCCAUUCUCUCUUGCAUGGACAUUGAUCUGCCCAGAGAUAGUCAUAGGAGGAUAAUAGCUUAAAAAUUCUGGCCGAGUUCCUCAGCCAGAAGAGUUCCAGAGUUUACCAAACUAGAAUCCAUUCAUGGUAACAUUAUUGAUUGAACACAAUUCUUGUUAAAAAAGUGACCAGACUUAGUCACUGAGUGCUUGUGAGGUAAGGUAGUUUUCUUGUUUCUAGAAUUCAGUGUAAUA
rnacentral:lncRNA from 1 species